UUGAGCAGUACUACUAGUCCCCAAAGUUUGGAAUUAGCAAAAAAUAUCGCAAAUUUUUUGCAAUUUUUCAGCAGAAAAUCGUGCCGCCGGAGGUCGUUUUCGGGAUGCCUGUUUAGACCUUUCCCAGAAAAGAUUCCUUGCACUGUUGGGAAAUUCUGCCUUUUUGUACUUGUAGGGAAAACUUUUUUCACGUGAUGUGUGGUCGUAGAAUCCCAAAAUCAGAUCUGGGUAUUCCGGAGGUGGACCGACAGAAUCACUGGUGGUGAAAAAAGGCGAAAAGCCCCAUACUCUUUUUUUUUUU
rnacentral:lncRNA from 1 species